UGUUGUCCUUUUGGCACAUCGUUAAAAUUAGAACAAUACAGAAAAGAUUAGCAUAACCUUUGCGUAAAAAUGAUAUGCACAAAUCGAAAAAUAGUCCAAAUUUUU